rnacentral:misc_RNA from 1 species
GUUUUUAAGAGUUUUUGUGAGGUUGGUUCAUGUAUUUGCUCUUUAAAUUCACCAUUUUCUAUGCUAUUGUAAUUUUGACUGUGUUAAACCCCUUAGUAUCUCAAUGUGUAAAAUCUGUAAGUUUCUCAAUGUGUAAAAUCUGUAAUAGGCCAAUAUCUCUUAUUUUCAUGUAUUUCAUUUGUGCUGAUUGACUAGUUCAAAAAUCUAAUUUUGGACAUCCUUUGUAUUUGUUCAGAAAAAUUCUGAUGGUCAAACA